UAAGGAUGGAUAAGAUGGUGUGAAACAUUGACUACAAGACCCUCUUUCGUAAAAUUUAUUUUGAAAAGCUAUGCAGAAUACUAAUUCUUUUCCAAAUGCUCUAAACCUGAAUUUCCUGGAACAGAACACAUAUAAUUGGAGUGGGAAUGAAAGGGCAAAACAUAAUAAACAUACUUAACAGGCCAUAACCAUUAACUACUAAGGGGUUAAUUAACUACCAGUGACACACUUGUCCCAAACUAAGACCUGGUUGGACUUUUGCACUUCGUCCCACAGAGUAGCUGAGAAUCAUAAAGCUCUUACAGGCAAUGCUCAAAUUUGGAAAAACCAGCAAACAUGCAGUACUGUGCAGCAGAUGGCAAGAUGUUCUAGAGAUUCCAUUAAGAGCAUCUUGGUCAUCAUGUGAUGCAAGACAAAAGCAAACACUUGUAGCAGCCAACUGGAAUCAAUUCCUCUACAGUGACAACAGAGAUGGCAACCUACAGCUUGCAGGAACAGAAAGCUGAGAGUGAAAUCACAGGCCACCCACAUAUAUAGAGAUACCCCAAAGAACACAAAUACUCAUUAUUACACACAAGUCACCAGGAAUCAAGGACAGCUGAAAAAGAACCCAUGAUAUGUUAUCUUUCAAGAAGCUUGCUGAGCAGCUUCUAAGAGUUCCUCCUUUAGAGCACACUGAAAUGCCUGAGUUAAAGUACUGCAUGGAUUUCUACGUAUGAUGAGAUGUCAUAAUCAAGAAGAUGAGCUACAGUAAGAAGCUACAAACAGCUUGGAUAAUAUUUUCUCAGCAUAGCACUACAUAAGAAAAAAUAGGAAGUCUUGAAGUUACCAGCAGCUACCUUGUUCUUAAGUGGAACACAGUUUCAUCCUGUAAAAGUUACAGAUUUCUAGAAGAAUUUGUAUGUAUUUUCACCUAGCUUGGUUUAAAUACAUAGGAAAUUAACCAGAUGAUUAUCAAGUUUUAACUCAAGAGUUUGCCACUAUCACUUAAAAACAUCUUGACAUUUCUCAGAAGCAUUUUUCCAUGGUUCAAGCAGCCCAGUUACAGGUUAAAGGGCUGAAUCCUGCAACUAUUCAGGCUAUAAGCCUAUUUUCUGAAUAUAUAUACUGCUCCAAGUAAGUUUGAAGAACCUUGUCUUAUAUUCCUGGGUUUGAACUCUUUGGCUACAGUAAGCUCUUUCUUACCAUUUCUAACGCACAUUGUCAAUACCUAUGUUGUAUAAAAGAAUAUUCUCAGCCCAACAUCCAAUAGCCAUUACAUUUUUAAGUCUUUCUUGAAGCUGGUACCCAUAAUUUAUUUUUGAGAAACCAUUUGCUAAUACAAGCUUUUUCCUCCCAUGCAAAGUGAUCUAUUACUGUCAAAUUUUCUAUGUGACUGUUACACAUCAACAAACUGGAAAGCAACCUAGCUUUUCAAAUUGGAUGUCUUCCUUUAAAUAAACCAUACAAAGAAAAUUAAUGUAUUGCUUUUUCAUUCAAAUGUCUCCCUUCAUGAUCAACGGCUGAUAUUCCCCACAAACAAUUUGUGGUAUCAGAAAGU